UACGAAGGGGGCUAGCGUUGUUCGGAAUUACUGGGCGUAAAGGGCGCGUAGGCGGAUAGUUUAGUUGGGGGUGAAAGCCCGGGGCUCAACCUCGGAAUUGCCUUCAAUACUGGCUAUCUUGAGUGUGAGAGAGGUGUGUGGAACUCCGAGUGUAGAGGUGAAAUUCGUAGAUAUUCGGAAGAACACCAGUGGCGAAGGCGACACACUGGCUCACUACUGACGCUGAGGCGCGAAAGCGUGGGGAGCAAACAGG
rnacentral:rRNA from 1 species